rnacentral:tRNA from 1 species
GCACCUGUAGCUCAAUUGGUCAGAGCCCUGCUUACUCAAGCAGGAGGCGAGGGUUCAAUUCCCUCCAGGUGCA